AUUGCUCCCAGACUGGGUUCACCUCCACCUGCUGAACUCAUAGAACAGCAAACAACAAGUCCAGAGACAGACUCAAAUGUAGCAUCACUUUCAUCACUCACUCCUGGACUCCUGUGAACCAUAACGAGUGUGGCCCCUCUAAACAUCAGUAACUAAGAAAAUACGUCAGAAGGUGUUGUUCAACACACCCAUUUACAACACGGCUGUGAAGAUCUGGUGGGCUACAGGGCUCAGAUUGCAAUGAUGAUGGACUUCAGCAGGAAAACAAAAUCUCAUCACACAUCACUGCUAGUAUAUUCUUCACAGAACAUAAAAUAAAAU